GGAGGUGCGCGUGCUAUACAUGCAGUCGAGCGAAUGGAUUAAGAGCUUGCUCUUAUGAAGUUAGCGGCGGACGGGUGAGUAACACGUGGGUAACCUGCCCAUAAGACUGGGAUAACUCCGGGAAACCGGGGCUAAUACCGGAUAACAUUUUGAACCGCGUGGUUCGAAAUUGAAAGGCGGCUUCGGCUGUCACUUAUGGAUGGACCCGCGUCGCAUUAGCUAGUUGGUGAGGUAACGGCUCACCAAGGCAACGAUGCGUAGCCGACCUGAGAGGGUGAUCGGCCACACUGGGACUGAGACACGGCCCACACUCCUACGGGAGGCAGCAGUAGGGAAUCUUCCGCAAUGGACGAAAGUCUGACGGAGCAACGCCGCGUGAGUGAUGAAGGCUUUCGGGUCGUAAAACUCUGUUGUUAGGGAAGAACAAGUGCUAGUUGAAUAAGCUGGCACCUUGACGGUACCUAACCAGAAAGCCACGGCUAACUACGUGCCAGCAGCCGCGGUAAUACGUAGGUGGCAAGCGUUAUCCGGAAUUAUUGGGCGUAAAGCGCGCGCAGGUGGUUUCUUAAGUCUGAUGUGAAAGCCCACGGCUCAACCGUGGAGGGUCAUUGGAAACUGGGAGACUUGAGUGCAGAAGAGGAAAGUGGAAUUCCAUGUGUAGCGGUGAAAUGCGUAGAGAUAUGGAGGAACACCAGUGGCGAAGGCGACUUUCUGGUCUGUAACUGACACUGAGGCGCGAAAGCGUGGGGAGCAAACAGGAUUAGAUACCCUGGUAGUCCACGCCGUAAACGAUGAGUGCUAAGUGUUAGAGGGUUUUCCGCCCUUUAGUGCUGAAGUUAACGCAUUAAGCACUCCGGCCUGGGGAGUACGGCCGCAAGGCUGAUACUCAAAGGAAAUUGACGGGCGCCCGCACAGCCGGUGAGCAUGUGGUUUUAUUUCGAAGCAACGCGAACAAUCUUACCUAGGUCUUGACAUCCUCUGAAAACCCUAAGAGAUAGGUCUUUCUUCUUUCGGCAGCAGAGUGACAGGUGGAUGCAUGGGUUGUCGUCUGUCUCCUCGUCCAGUGAGAAUGUUGGGUUUAACGUCCCCACAA
rnacentral:rRNA from 1 species